rnacentral:misc_RNA from 1 species
CUUGGGAACAUUGUAGUUCCCUUAUUUAAAAGCGUAAUAUUUUUGGGCUUUACGCUUUCCAGAGUUCUGUCCUGGACAGCUCACGUCAAAGAUAUUAGACAAAUAUAUGCUUAAACUGAAUGUUAUGAAGGCUAUUGCUGGGGUUUCUUGGGGUUUUCACCUUCACAACUUGAUUGCUGUCUAUAAAGGCUGGAUCAGGUCUUUUAGAUUAUGAUAUUGGCAGGAGGAGACUUCAUGGUAUGGAGGAUCUUUUUUUAUCCACCCUCAUGAGCUUAUGGGAGUAAUUCGGGGCUAAUAUGUAUCGUACUUCUCUAUCUAAUUCUUUGGAUUUUUCCCUGGAAGUUGGGAGUUUUCAGCCGGAAAGGGACUCUUGUUCGGGUUUCAAUUUUCAGAUUAAAUGCAAUAAAGAUAAUAUUUCCUUUACUAUA